CAACCUCAACUCAUAUGGGACUACCCCCUGAAUUUAAGCAUAUUAAUUAGGGGAGGAAAAGAAACUAACAAGGAUUUUCUUAGUAGCGGCGAGCGAAAAGAAAACAGUUCAGCACUAAGUCACUUUGUCUAUAUGGCAAAUGUGAGAUGCAGUGUAUGGAGCGUCAAUAUUCUAGUAUGAGAAAUUAAUGAUUUAAGUCCUUCUUAAAUGAGGCCAUUUACCCAUAGAGGGUGCCAGGCCCGUAUAACGUUAAUGAUUGCUAGAUGAUGUUUCCAAAGAGUCGUGUUGCUUGAUAGUGCAGCACUAAGUGGGUGGUAAACUCCAUCUAAAACUAAAUAUAACCAUGAGACCGAUAGUAAACAAGUACCGUGAGGGAAAGUUGAAAAGAACUCUGAAUAGAGAGUUAAACAGUACGUGAAACUGCUUAGAGGUUAAGCCCGAUGAACCUGAAUAUCCGUUAUGGAAAAUUCAUCAUUAAAAUUGUAAUAUUUAAAUAAUAUUAUUAAGAAUAAUGUGCAUUUUUUCCAUAUAAGGACAUUGUAAUCUAUUAGCAUAUCCCAAAUUUAUCAUAAAAUAUAACUUAUAGUUUAUUCCAAUUAAAUUGCUUGCAUUUUAACACAGAAUAAAUGUUAUUAAUUUGAUAAAGUGCUGAUAGAUUUAUAUUAUUACAGAGCGUUAAUUUUUCGGAUUAUAUAAUGGCAUAAUUAUCAUUGAUUUUUG
rnacentral:ncRNA from 1 species